AUUGAACGCUGGCGGCAGGCCUAACACAUGCAAGUCGAGCGAUCGGCGGACGGGUGAGUAAUGUAUGGGGACUGCCCGAUAUAGGGGGAUAACUACUGGAAACGGUAGCUAAUACCGCAUCAUAUCGGAUAACCCAUAUGGGCGUAGCUAGUAGGUGAGGUAAUGGAUCACCUAGGCGACGAUCCCUAGCUGGUCUGAGAGGAUGAUCAGCCACAUGGGGACUGAGACACGGCCCAGACUCCUACGGAGGCAGCAGUGGGGAAUAUUGCACAAUGGGCGCAAGCCUGAUGCAGCCAUGCCGCGUGUAUGAAGAAGGCCCUAGGGUUGUAAAGUACUUUCAGUCGGGAGGCGUUACCGACAGAAGAAGCACCGGCUAACUCCGUGCCAGCCGCCGCGGUAAUUC
rnacentral:rRNA from 1 species